rnacentral:rRNA from 1 species
AGGACGAACGCUGGCGGCGUGCUUAACACAUGCAAGUGGAGCGACGAACCGGGGCUUGCCCCGGGGCAGAGCCGCGAACGGGUGAGUAACACGUGGGUUACCUGCCCCAAUGACCGGGACAACCCGAGGAAACUCGGGCUAAUACCGGAUGUGGUCUUCGGACGAAAGGAAGCUUCGGCCUCCGCAUUGGGAUGGGCCCGCGGCGCAUUAGCUUGUUGGUGGGGUAACGGCCUACCAAGGCGACGAUGCGUAGCUGGUCUGAGAGGACGAUCAGCCACACUGGGACUGAGACACGGCCCAGACUCCUACGGGAGGCAGCAGUGGGGAAUCUUGCGCAAUGCGCGAAAGCGUGACGCAGCAACGCCGCGUGGGGGAAGAAGGCCUUCGGGUUGUAAACCUCUUUCAGCAGGGACGAUAGUGACGGUACCUGCAGAAGAAGCACCGGCCAACUACGUGCCAGCAGCCGC